CGGAGGGUGCAAGCGUUAUCGGAUUCACUGGGUUUAAAGGGUGCGUAGGUGGGUCUGUAAGUCAGUGGUGAAAUCCCCGAGCUUAACUUGGGAACUGCCGUUGAUACUAUAGAUCUUGAAUAUCGUGGAGGUAAGCGGAAUAUGUCAUGUAGCGGUGAAAUGCUUAGAUAUGACAUAGAACACCAAUUGCGAAGGCAGCUUACUACACGAUCAUUGACACUGAGGCACGAAAGCGUGGGGACGCAAACAGGAUUAGAUACCCUGGUAGUCCACGCCCUAAACUAUGGAUACUCGACAUCAGCGAUACACAGUUGGUGUCUGAGCGAAAGCAUUAAGUAUCCCACCUGGGAAGUACGAUCGCAAGAUUG
rnacentral:rRNA from 1 species